UACGUAGGGUGCGAGCGUUAAUCGGAAUUACUGGGCGUAAAGCGUGCGCAGGCGGUGAUGUAAGACAGAUGUGAAAUCCCCGGGCUCAACCUGGGAACUGCAUUUGUGACUGCAUCGCUGGAGUGCGGCAGAGGGGGAUGGAAUUCCGCGUGUAGCAGUGAAAUGCGUAGAUAUGCGGAGGAACACCGAUGGCGAAGGCAAUCCCUGGGCCUGCACUGACGCUCAUGCACGAAGCGUGG
rnacentral:rRNA from 1 species